rnacentral:tRNA from 1 species
GCUCUGGGGUGUGACACAUCAAAAUGCAAAUUUGAAGAAGAGCCCUAAAAGGGCUCCGGGGCU